GCGAGAAAACUUUGCAAUGUGCGAAAGCACGACAAGGUUAAUCCGAGUGAUUUCUGCUAAAGAAAUCUUUUGCAAGUCAUAAAACCACUAGUGAAUAAGGGGUGGGCAAGUUCUGGUGU
rnacentral:rRNA from 1 species